rnacentral:lncRNA from 1 species
GAUCUCUUGAAUAGUAGCUCCAUAUUGGGUUUCCGUUAGCAUAGUUAUUUGCUAGUUCUUGAAUGAUCGUAGCUAGUCCAAUAAGUCUUUUAUUUGCAUAAAAAUCUGGUAUCUCGAUUCUAGGUAUCUCCGGUUGUUGCGAAAUAUCUUCUGGUAUAAUCAUAUCUCUUGUUAAUCCUAUCUUUACAACUUGUAUAACUGGUUUUAUUUCGUCAUAUAAUAUCUCUGCUGGUGCAGUAUAACACUUUAUAUAAAAUAAAUUUCCUUUUGUUAUUCUUUUGUAGGUAGUGAAUAUCUUGUAUAAUUCCUCCAUAGCUGUUAGCUCUUCUCCGUCUUGGGUGUAUAUGGUAUUUAGUAGUCCAUAGUCAAAACAAGUUUUAACUAGGCUUGGGUUAGUUUUGGGUAGUGCUAUCAGUUUAUUGUAUCCUUGUAGUUUUUGGGUUAUAUAAUUGGUAUUUGGUUCUUGGAUAUUUGUAGCUCUGGGGUUAUGGUUUAGAAAGGUUUGGACUCUAUAUAUAUUUUCUAUGUAUUUUUGGGCUGUGUAGUUGUAUAUUUUCUUGUCUUGGUUUAGGCUGUCUCGGUAUGUGUUAACUUGUGGGGGUAUGAAUAAAUGGUCUUUUUGUGCUUUUGGGGUAAAUGGUUUUUCAAAUAUUUUGUUCAUAUUUACAUUCUGGUAUCUUGGUCUAUUAACUCCUUUGCUUGUACCUGCAGAAGUAGAUUGAUAAAUGUUAUGGGUUUUAUGGAGUGUCCCAACGUCUCCUUCUAGCUCUGGAUUUUUAAUGUCUUUCGAUCGACAUAGCUCUGCACAUUGCUGAGUUAGCUGAUUUGUAGCUAUAGACUUCAGUUUAUCUUCAUUAGUCUUUAGCUUUUCUAUCUCAUUACCCAUACUGUCCACUUUCAUUGAAAGCGUAGUUAGGGUGUUAAGUAUUUUUUCUAGAGUAUCUUCCUCUACUAUUUCAGUCUGUGUAGCUUUGUCUUGAUAUGUAAUCUGCAAUAACAUUUUUGUUAGUACUGAUCACUUCAAUUGUAAAUGUGAAAUUUAAUAUAUUUAAAACUAGUCUUCGAAUCUCUUUUGUUGUAACUGAAUUUUGUAUUUUCUUUGUUAACCACCAGCGUACCUGUGUAUUAUCUGUUCGUACAAUAAAUUUGUUAUAUACAAUAUAUGGCUCAAAUGCUAAUAAACAUUUAUAUAAUGAACAUAAUUCUUUCCUAUUUAUUUCCCAUUUUAUUUCUGUCUCGUUGAACGUACCUGAGUAGUAUCUACAAUGGUGUUCUAUUUUUUCUGCUUCAUAUCGAUAUUUAAGUACUCCUCCGUAACUAUAUUCACUUGCAUCUGCUUCUACUAUAUAUAUAAAUUUUCUAUUUUCAUCUGGAAAUUGCAAUUUUGGUAAUUCUCUACAAAGUAAUUUUAUUUUUUGAACUUGUUUUUUAUCUUUUUCAUCAUAAUUAUAUUCUAUAUCCUUUUUUAAUUUUUUCUGCAGUGGUUUUAAGGUUUCUGCUAAUUUUGGAAUAUAUUCUCUUACUUGGUUUACUAAUCCUAAAAAUGAUUGUAAUUUCUUUUUUGUAUCUAAUUCUUCUUUCGAAUUUAUUAUUUUUUGUACUAUAUGUUGUUGCAUUUUUACUCCACUUUUAUCUAUUUGUAUUCCUAAAAAUUCUAUCUGGUUUUUCAUAAUUUCAGCUUUCUUUUUGCUUAGACUUAUUCCUGAUUUUUCUAUUAUAUCUGUGAAUUGUUCUAAUAAUUUUAAAUGUUCUUCUUUGGUUUUGGUGUAUAAUAAUAUAUCAUCUAUGUAUACUAUACAAUUAGAUAAUUGUUUAAAAUAAUUAUCCAUAAAAUGUUGAUAUCUACCUGGUGCAUUUUUAUAUCCAAAUGGUAACACGUUCCAUUCAUAAAAUCCUUGUGGUACCGUAAAUGCGGUUAAUUCUUUAGAUUCUUCUUCUAGCUUUAGGUGGUAAAAUCCUGAUUUACAAUCAAAUUUGCUAAAAUAAUUAUAUCCUUGGAUUUGUCUUAUUUUUAAUAUCUUAUUUGGUAUCGGAUAAUUAUAUGUUAUAGUUUUUGCAUUUAAAUUUCUAUAGUCAAUAACCAUCCUACUUUUUCCUCUUUUUUGUUCACUAUGUUUAUUUACUAUAAAUGCUGGACUAUUAUGUUUACUAUUACUUUUUUGUAUAUAUUGUUUUUCUAAUAAUUCAUCUAUGUGCAUUUUAAAUUCUUUUAAAUCAUCAAAAUUAUAUGUUAAUGGUUUUUGUGUUAUUAUGCUAUUCUUAUCUAUUAAUUCAAUUUUUAUAGUAGUUUUGUGUUUUUCCCAUCCUUUUAAUGGAUCUUCACUAUAUAAUUGUUCUAAUUUUUUCUGAAUUAUUUCUAUUUUAUUUAUUGAAAAUAUAGUUAUUUCUGUUUUAUUUAUCGAAAAUACUACUAGUUCUACUGUAUCUUCAGUAUUGUUUAUAUUUUCUAACUUUUGUGUAAUUUUUUCACUUCCUUUUAUCCAAUCAGUUUUCUUUCUUAUUUUAUUAUUAACUCUUUUUGCUCUUACUUUUUGUUUGCAUGGUGUUGUAAACCACCAGUCUGUUUUAGUUAUUAUAUGUGGGUAUAAUUUAUCUAAAAAUGGCAUUCCUAAAAGUAUAUCUUUUGAUGUUAAUUCAUAGUUAUAAAUUUCUUCUAUUGUUAAUAUCUUAUCCCAUACUUGUAUUUUUACAUUCCUAGCUUUAUAAGUAAUUAAGCUUCCUUCAUUAUUAAAUCCUUUAACUAUUAUUGGUGUUUUUAGUUUAUCCCAUUUGCUUUCUGGUAAGCAAUUAUAUCUACAUAAAUUAGCUUCUGCUCCUGUAUCUAUCAUAGGCGUAUAAUAUCUACUGUAAUAUCCUUCUACUACUAUCUUCAUUAAUACAUGUAUCUUCAUUUCAUGUUAAGGCUCUUUUUAAGAAUAACUUUUCUUGGUUAUAUGUUAAGGUUAAUUGUGUAUGUUCUAUAUUAUAUGGUUUUACUUGUUCUAACCAUUUUAUUCCUAAUAUUAUAUCUGCUUUUUGCAUUUCUUCUUUUACUUCGAAUUCUAUUUUUAUUUUUCUAACUCCUAAUAUUAUUUCUUUUUCUGCUAGAUUUUUAUUAUUUAUUAAACUUCUUGGUAAGUCUGGGCAUAUAUUAUUGUCGGUUUUUAUUUCUUCAUUUUUUACUAGAUAUUUUGCUAUAUAAUUUUCUUCUUGUCCUGUGUUCAAAAGUAUUAAAUAUUCUUUUUCAUUUAUUUUUCCCGUUAUGUAAUAUUGGUUUAAAUUACUUAUUGAGUUUGUUUCAUAACUUGUUCUUUUUGAUGAGCUUGAUGAUUCUGGCUUUUCAUUAGCUAUUCUUUUCGUUGUACUUAUUCUAUCAUUUACUAUUUCUAAAUUUUCUUCUGUAUCUAUGUCUCUAUAGGUAUAAUCAUUAUAAUCUAUUGUUUUUACUAUUUGUUCGAAUGGGCUUUCUAUUUGUAUUUUGUUAAUCUUAUUUUUUCCUGUUAUUUUAUGUUUUGUUGUUAAUACAUAUAGGUUUUUACAUCUUGCUGUAAAUAUUUUACUUCCUGGGGUUAACUCUAUUCCUGAUAUUUUCCAAUAUAAUACUAAUGAUUUAUCUAUAUUCCUAUCUGUUACUGCUACUGAAUAAUUUGCACUUAUUAUAAAUUUAAAUUUUUGGUAUAUUAGAUUUCCUUUUACGGCAGUUAUUAUGCUUUUUUCUAUAGGUUUUAUAAUUCUAUCGUCUGCUAAAUAUAAUUCUAUUGGUGUAUCUAUUCCUUCUCUAAAACAUGCUUUUAUUAAUAUCUCUGUACCUCCAAGGUGUACAUAUUUUAUUGGAUCUCCUUUACUUUUUAUAUCAUUUAUUUCUUUAUUAAUUAUUCUUUUUGUUACUAGUGGUAUACUAGCUUUUCCUUUUGCAUAUCUGCAAUCUAUUACAUGUUCUUUUUGGCAUACUACAUAAUAUUCAUCUUUUUUCCUAGUAAAAAUAUUUUUUAUUGUUGGUAUUUUAAAUAUUUUGUCUACACUUAAAUCUAAUUCUUUUCCUUUUAUUUCAUCAAAUAUAUUACUGUCAAAUAUUAUUUUUUGUUCCGUUCCUUCAUCAUUUAAAUAUUCUUCCUUUGUUAUUAUUUUUAUAUCUUCUUCAGUCAUUUGAUUCAUCUAUUUCGCUAUCUAUUUCAUUAUCUGUUUCGUUUUCUGAAAUUUCAUAUAUACUAUCUUCACUUUCUAAUUCAUAAUCUAUAUAAUCUAUCUGCAUGUAUUCGGUAUUUUCUAUUUUUAUUUCUGAUAUUUGUUUAUUUUUUGGAUUUUUAGGUAAUUUACAAUCUCUAGCUAAAUGUCCUAACUUUCCACAAUUAUAACAAGUACAUUCUUUUAUAGAUUUCUUUUUUCUAUAUGGUCUUUUAUGUUUAUAAUUUUUUACAUAGUAUCUUUUUCUUGGUUUUUUAUAUUUAUAUUUUGAUUUUUUAUAUUUCUUAUAUUUCUUAUGUCUUUUUCUUUUCUUAUAAUAUCUUUCUUCGCAUCCAAAUUGGGGUGCUAUUUUAUUUUUGCAACAAGCUAAAUUUCUUAUUAAUGUUUUUUCCAUUUUUAAUUCUUCUCUAUAUUUUUCACAUAAGUUUCUAUACCAUUGUUGUAAAUAUUUUAUUCUUGCUCCUAACGUAUCUACUAUUUUUGCUUCUUCCCAACUUUUUAUUAUUUUCGAACUAAAUGGCUCGGGUAAUUUAUUAAAAUAUAAUUUUCUUAUUUCUUUACUUUCUUCUAUACUAUAUGCUCCUUUGUAAUAAUAUUCUUUAAAUGCGCAAGUAUAUUCAUCUAUAUAACACAUAUUACAUAUUGCUAAUUUUAACAUUAAAUUUCUAUUUGUAUCUUUUUCUUCAUUUUGUUCUUCUUCGAUUGUUGUCGUACUACCAAAUUCAUCUUUUAUAGCUGUUUCAUAUUUUUUUAAUAAUUCUAUAGGUGUUAGUUUAGUUGUUGUCGAUGAUGUUCCUUCUAUAGGUUUAUUAGUUCUUAAUACUUUUUUGCUAUUUUCGGUUAGAUUUGCAAACCAUAGUUUUACUGAUCCUAUUAGUGUUUUUUCUAUAUAUUCCGGUGCAUCUGUUAUAUUUAUAUUAUUAUCUAAUAAUUGUUUUGUCAUAUAUCCUAUCCAUAAUUGUAUUGUUUUUUCUGUAUCUAUUACACAGUCUAGAUCUAAAAAGUUAUAAUUUUUAUUCACUAUUUGUUUUGGUAUCCAUUUAUCAUAUUCAUUAUAUUUUUUAAACUUAUUCUUAUGGUAUAUAGGUUUUCUUAUUUCUGUUGUUUUAGGUAUUAUAUUUUCAUUUUCUUUUUUAUCAAGAGUAUUUAUUUCUGUGUGGGUAUUUUCUAAGUUUUCCUCAUUAAUUUUUUGUUCUUCAUUGAUUUCUAAAUUUUUUGUAUUUGUUAAUAUUUCUGUGUAUGUUUCACUAUCUUCGGACUCAUAAUUAUCUGUCUCUUCAAUAUCUAUAUUAUUUAUUUCUAAUUCUUCGUUUUUUAUUUCUAAUUUUUCCUUAAAUUGAUUUAUCUCAUUUAGUAAUUUCUGUUCUCUAUCUUUUUCUUCUUUUUCUUUUUGUCUUUGUUCAUACAGUUCUUUUAACAUUUGUAAUUCUUUUUCUAAUUCAGCAAUUCUACUAUUUUUGGUUUCUUCUAUUUUUCGUAUUUCUUCCGUAGUUUGUUGUUUUAUUUUUUCUAUUUCUUUUUUCCUAUCUAUCUCUUCAUUUUCUUUUUCUAUUCUUACCAUUGCUGUUAAUUUAUCUUCUAAUUUUAAUUCUUCUUUUUCUAACAUUAGAUAUAAAUGUUCACCUAUUUUCUUAUAUCUUCGUCCUAGAUUAGAAAAUACUAUUUUUAUUUUUGAUCCUUCGUAGUUUUCAUAUAUUUUUUCAUCUAUUAUAAAUUCUUCUUUAUUCAUUUUAUUGUGAAUAGGUCAUGUUGAUAUACAUAUUCUAAACUAUCUAUUUGUGAUUCUAAUUUUGAUAUUUCAUCUUUUUGUGUAUCUAUUGAAUUUUUACUAACUCCGGCAAAUAUAUUAUAAUGUAGUCUUUCUAUUCUUAUUUUUAAUUCUUUUCGUUUUUCAGAGAUAAUUUGUUUUAAUUCUUUAUAUCGUUGUAUUUUAUUCAUUUUAAAUUAUAUUUAUAAUAUCUCGGUGGAUAUCUAAAUCUAAUUUUAUCAUAAUUAGGUGGUAUAUGUUUCAUUCUUCUAGAUUUUAAAUGUGUUAUUAAUUUUGAUUCAAUACUAGAUAUUAAUGUAAUUAAAUAGGAUAAAUGGAUACCAAAACAAAUAGUGAAUAAAAAUUAUAACUUUUUAGAUCUAGACUGUGUAAUAGAUACAGAAAAAACAAUACAAUUAUGGAUAGGAUAUAUGACAAAACAAUUAUUAGAUAAUAAUAUAAAUAUAACAGAUGCACCGGAAUUUUAAUAACUUAAUAACUCUUAAUCAGUAAAACUAUGGUUUGCAAAUCUAACCGAAAAUAGCAAAAAAGUAUUAAGAACUAAUAAGCCUAUAGAAGGAACAUCAUCGACAACAACUAAACUAACACCUAUAGAAUUAUUAAAAAAAUAUGAAACAGCUAUAAAAGAUGAAUUUGGUAGUACGACAACAAUCGAAGAAGAACAAAAUGAAGAAAAAGAUACAAAUAGAAAUUUAAUGUUAAAAUUAGCAAUAUGUAAUAUGUGCUAUAUAGAUGAAUAUACUUGCGCAUUUAAAGAAUAUUAUUACAAAGGAGCAUAUAGCAUAGAAGAAAGUAAAGAAAUAAGAAAAUUAUAUUUUAAUAAAUUACCCGAUAACUCUUAACAUGUAUAUUCUAGCUCUGAUACCAUUUUGAAGGGGGUGUGCGGAUUUAAUAGGUUAAAUAGAUUCACUAGAUUUGUUUCUAUAUAGAACGAGAAUUUACAAGUUUUUACAUUCACGUGUUUCUAAUUCUUAAAACUAAGAAAAACAAAAGUCAAUAAAAGUGGUCAUAAUGGCCUAACCUACUCUUACCUACCCUAAAGAAAAGUCCUAAAUGUGUAAGAAAGUAAAUAAUUGCUUUACAUUAUCUUGUCGUAAGAAAAUUUUUGUCUUCUUUAUUCUAGAUGUACCUCUGGAAUAAUAUUAUCUUCUCCAUUGCACCUCGAACAUUGGUGGUCUGGAUAUUUAUGUCCAAUUAUUUUACAGUAUCUUGUUAGCAGUCCUUCUGAAAUAAAUCCCUUUUUUAUUGCUCUCGCGGUAGAUUGUUUUUCUGGGUUAAGUAGCGUCAUUAUCCAUUGUCUUACGUCUUCCAUAUCUGCUUGUCGUAGCUCUUUUGAAUUUGAAUAUAUCAUUUGAUGAUCUCUUGAAUAGUAGCUCCAUAUUGGGUUUCCGUUAGCAUAGUUAUUUGCUAGUUCUUGAAUGAUCGUAGCUAGUCCAAUAAGUCUUUUAUUUGCAUAAAAAUCUGGUAUCUCGAUUCUAGGUAUCUCUGGUUGUUGCGAAAUAUCUUCUGGUAUAAUCAUAUCUCUUGUUAAUCCUAUCUUUACAACUUGUAUAACUGAUUUUAUUUCAUCAUAUAAUAUCUCUGCUGGUGCAGUAUAACACUUUAUAUAAAAUAAAUUUCCUUUUGUUAUUCUUUUAUAGGUAGUGAAUAUCUUGUAUAAUUCCUCCAUAGCUGUUAGCUCUUCUCCGUCUUGGGUAUAUAUGGUAUUUAGUAGUCCAUAGUCAAAAGGAUUAAUUUUUUAGAUUUACUAUUAGAUAGUGUCCAUAAAUCUCACAAAAAGUACCUAAAGAUUCAUAGUGAACUUUGAUGGGAGUUUCUUUUGAAACAAUAACACGUUG